rnacentral:rRNA from 1 species
AUUGAACGCUGGCGGCAGGCCUAACACAUGCAAGUCGAGCGGGGUUUUCGGACCUAGCGGCGGACGGGUGAGUAAUGCGUAGGAAGCUGCCCGAUAGAGGGGGAUACCAGUUGGAAACGACUGUUAAUACCGCAUAAUGUCUACGGACCAAAGUGUGGGACCUUCGGGCCACAUGCUAUCGGAUGCGCCUACGUGGGAUUAGCUAGUUGGUGAGGUAAUGGCUUACCAAGGCGACGAUCUCUAGCUGGUUUGAGAGGAUGAUCAGCCGCACUGGAACUGAGACACGGUCCAGACUCCUACGGGAGGCAGCAGUGGGGAAUAUUGGACAAUGGGCGCAAGCCUGAUCCAGCCAUGCCGCGUGUGUGAAGAAGGCCUUCGGGUUGUAAAGCACUUUCAGCGAGGAGGAAGGGGUGUGUGUUAAUAGUACACACCUUUGACGUUACUCGCAGAAGAAGCACCGGCUAACUCUGUGCCAGCCGCCGCCGUAACAC